GCCAACAUGAUCUUCGGUGGUCCGGGGUGCAGACUUCAAAUCUGUAGACGCUUAAUCGCGUAGUUGUUCGAUUCAACCUUGUUGGU
rnacentral:tRNA from 1 species